rnacentral:snRNA from 1 species
CCACAAAUGUCAUACCAUCAUCA